rnacentral:rRNA from 1 species
ACGCUGGCGGCGUGCUUAAUACAUGCAAGUCGUGCGAGAAAGUACCUACGGGGUGCGAGUAGAGCGGCAAAUGGGUGAGUAACACUGUAAGUAACCUACCUCUAAAUCUGGAAUAACUCUGCCAACGCGGAGCUAAUACCGGAUGUGGUCACGAUGCUGCGUGGUAUUGUGACUAAAUGUGACCUCUCCUUGGAAGUUACCGUUUAGAGAUGGGCUUGCGGACCAUUACCUAGAUUGGUGAUCGUAACGUGCUCACCAAUGCUACGAUGGAUAGCCGGUCUAAGAGGGUGAUCGGCCACAUUGGGACUGAGAUACGGCCCAGACUCCUACGGGAGGCAGCAUUAUGGAAUUUUGCGCAAUGGACGAAAGUCUGACGCAGCAACGCCGAUGUGAGGGAUGACGGCCUUCGGAGUUGUAAACCUCUGUCGAGUGGGAAGAAAAGCUUAGAGGUUAAUAUCCACAGAGUCUGACGGUACCACUCGAGGAAGCUCCGGCUAACUACGUGCCAGCAGCCGCGGUAAUACGUAGGGGGCUAGCGUUGUUCGGAAUCACUGGGCGUCAAGGGAGUGUACGCGGACCGGUAAGUUAGGACUUAAAUGUACGGGCUCAACCCGUGAUCUGCUUUUAAUACUGUCAGUCUUGAGUAUGGGAGAGGGAGAUGGAAUUCCAUGUGUAGCGGUGGCAUGCGUAGAUAUCUGGAAGAACACCAGUUUGCGAAGGCGGUCUCCUGGACCAAUACUGACGCUGAUGCUCGAAAGCUGGGGGAGCGACCAGGAUUAGA